CUUCAUGCCUUCAUUAUUCUGGAGCUCGAACCGUGGACCCACAGACCCGCACCUUAUUCCCUCAAGGAAUUUUGUUUUUGUUCCAAUUUGUUCCUGUCGAGCUUGAUCCAUCCGGACGGAAUCCUAGAGUGGAUAAAUAUACAUCUUGUACAGAUUUAGCAGUGUGGGUAUUGGCGACUGGGAGCCUUUGCCUGUGUGAAGUGAGGUUCGUGGAGACAAGAAUAGUAUCGCUGUUGAUGUUUGUGGGCUUCAGAGGGGUGGUGAUUGGGACAUGAGUGACAAAAGCAAGAUCGGUAAUGUGACUCGGCAUCUUGCGUACCACUUAAUUUAGGUUGAUGUGAUUGGCGUGCCGAGUUUGUAAGGGACCAUAGAGUAUCGAAGUGGUGGAUCGACUUUUGGACUUUUAGUUUCUGUUCGUGAACACUGCACCCGCCCUCACGAUGACUUUGAUGCUUCAAUGAUGGUUUUGUAGCGAGUAGGAAUGCCGAAAGACGGAAAACCGUCACUCUAUCGUUUCAUGAACAUGAAUGUGGACAUUGACCAACCCAAGUCUGUAGAGCGAAAAAUGUUCGAAACAAAGGACCAACCCAGACCUAGAUGAUUUCCGAAUUCCCAUUUUAGAACAAAGUUGGCACCUUUCAUGCAGUGGCAGCAUUACAUUGCGGCGACAAAGAGUAUGUUAUGAAUCCGAAUUUGCUGAGGAAUAUAGGCCCAAACGAAUCACCCUCGCUAGAACUGGAGAAGGGGGAGCAGUGAAGAUCCAUUCUGCUUUUAGAAUGAGAAAUCUCACGAACACGUGAUCCUUUCCCAUGGAAAUCUUAAAAUUUUGCAUCAACACAAUUGUUAAGCUGUGACGACGUGAAACUAACUGGCGCCAAGCUCUCGGCAUUACGGUUGCAAUAUGAUAUUGCACUCUUCAAGCCAAGAACAGAACCUGCGGCAGCCGAGCGCCUUCUGCUGCAAAAAACAUCAUUAGAAGACGCAUACGGCACUGCGAUGACUGAAGUUGUCUCUGCAUUACUUUAAUAAGACGGCGGUAUCCGUUUUCGAUGUUGGUGGCGCAUUUUCGGACAUGUCACUGACACAGGCCUCUGACAACUGCAGACGUUCGUGGAAUUCGAACGCCAGGUUGCAGGACAGCGGAUGACUCCGACGAGAACCCCGGCAAUGGGGGGAUAUCCAGCAUAAAAAGAUGCGGGCCCAGGAGGCCUUGAAACAGUGGGUAAUCCUCCCCGAAAUGCCCACGACCUGUUUCCUCUAUUGUGAGGCCAAACGGGAGCGCUUGUAGGCUGUGAAUCCCGAUCCCUGUCAUCAAACGUGCACACAAUUAGGUCAUGUCCAGGCUGGAGCAGACCCUCGAUUAUUUUCUUCAGUGCAUGUUGAAGAUCUGCACAUCUCGAGCUUGGAGUCCAUUUCUGUAGGAUCUGGGACACCACUCGCAGCACGUUUGUGGAUGUAGGCGCAGGUCCCGUCGCAUGCGGCGGUAACACUUUUAUUUCCGCAUAUUUGAAUCGUAAACAUCGGAACGGAGAAUAGGGUGGAUUACUGGGUCACCAGUGAUCUACUGUUGGUGUGCUACCGCACAGCUCACUCGAUCCACUCGCCAUGCGAUAAGUAGCCAACGCGUGGUGCAUGCAGCUCUUGUAUCCACAGCUCGUAUCUCUCCGUUUCAAGUUCGCAUAUCUUUGUUCUCCUUGCCUUCACUCAUUCUCUUCAAGUUAGUCAGAGUCCCCUUUUGUUUGUGCGCGCUUCUCUGGUCAGUCACAGAUCUGUUCAAAUCGAUUCCACAUUUUGUAAUCAGUAGUUUUAGUUCGGAUUCUUCACGUGGGUUGUGUAUUGCAAUUUCAGUGUGCCGUUCUGCUAGUGAACUUACCGAUUUGCACAUAUCAACAUAGCGACGAAUACUUUCGUUUGAUCCGCACACUCUCCUCCACGGUAGUGAAAUCUAUUCUCUUGCUUUCAUGUUCUGUACUCUUUUCCAGAUCUGAUGCUCGGUUGCAGCUGUUAUGCUCACGAAUCUGAGCAUGAAACUCUCCCCUUUUUUCUUUAUAACGUUAUGAAACGAGAUCCGUUAUGCGGUUGAGCGCGGCCCUGCACCGUACAAGAAUCUCACACCCUACCUUGAGAGCUUGGCAAUGACCAAAGGUCCGCACCUUGAAAAUUUGUGGGAGAGCUGUUUACUUCGCCUGCUAAAUCGAACAUAAAAAAAUGUGCGACAACCUCUUUCCAGGCUCUGAAUUUUAUUAUCUUCUCUUGCUAUAUAAACUAGGGGCUAACCUCUCGGGACUUGGCUCUCAACACACGUCACACAGUGCGUUACUCGACGUGGAACCCCUCGUGAUUGCAGCUUAGAGCUCGUCGUUUUCAUCUAACGCACUUUUCUUUUCCAGUCUUGACUGUCAUGUCAGUACCUUCAAAGAGCCCGCCUGAGUUCGUUUGCUACGACUUCAGUGGGUACCGUCACCCUUUCACGGAACACCACAAAAAGAUUUCGGAGCUACUUGUGAGAGCUGUUUGAUCAUGCCAUUGUGCUCUACGCGCUCGCAGAAUUGAUCGAGAACACUAGAUUAGCUGAUGAUAUGUGAGGAUUGAAGUCGUUGCAUUCACGUUAGCUUCAAGUUCCUGAGCUCAUUUCGAAUUCCGUAAGGGUGCUUCACGUCUCUUGCAGGUGCCGACUUACACAUUGGAAGCGUUGAGAGUUACUUGUGCUUCGUAGUUCACUUACAUCUUGGAGUACUGCAUCUUCAGAUCUCACUACAAGAAGUGUGUGAGCAACGGGCUGGAUUCAAGAUGUGAUUCUUUCUGCACAACACAGCGACAGCACUGCUGCUGGUUCCGGCGUCUUCCUUAACCUUUCUCGCAUAUUCGAAGAUGCCAAUCUUGCAGCCACCUUACAUUUGGCCGUUUCGAGUCUGAAGUGAAGAGGUGCCGAGAACCAGACGUUCUCAAUUUCCUCAACCCCGUCAUCUAUGGCGGCGCUCUAGCCUGUUGGCGCAUUCAUUCUCGUUCCCUCAACUAAUCUCCUUAGAGUCCACUCUAACACCCGAGUUAGUAGCGGAUGAACCAAGUUUUGACCAUUGUGUUACAUGUUUAACCAUUUUUGUGUUUUUUAAAUCCUUUUUCGGUAUCUUAUUUACGCAGUCAACUUUAGCAGGCACAGCACAAAUUUCAUCUGGAAAGCGAGCGUUGACGUGCCGAGUUGUAUUCGAUGGAGCAUUUUCCGGACGGGGUAGGGCACAUAGCUCCGACAUCCACAACACGUUAUGCGCUCUCCCAGCUAGACAAACUUCGCUACCAGUCAAAAAGAAUAUUGCAAAACGGCUGAAAGCUCGCAUGACUUCAGCAGUCGUACGGUGCAAUGAUCGCCUAGAUCGAUUGGGCUUCAAGUUCGGGUGCAAUCUCAUUCGAGAUUGUUUGUGACGAAUUGUAACUAGGAUUAGAUCAAGUAUGACUCAUAUGGGUGCAUGCAAUCUAUACAUUCUUGAAUCAUUUCUGCCACAGGGUCGCCCUUCUUCACUGUGGUCAAAGGUCUUGCAGACUAUGCACAAGCUGUAGCAAUCAAUUCAUACUCUAAAGGUUCUGAUAAAUUUUAUGAGUAAAUGACUCUUCUCUGAUGCUCA